CGAUGCUUAUCAGAUUGUUGGUGGGUUAAUGGCUCACCAAGGCGACGACUGGUAGCCGGCAUGAGAGGGUGACCGGCCACAAUGUGACUGAGACACGGCCCAGACUCGUCCGGGAGGCAGCAGUGGGGAAUAUUGCACAAUGGGCGGAAGCCUGAUGCAGGGACGCCGCGUGAGGGAUGACGGCCUUCGGGUUGUAAACCUCUUUCAGCAGGGAAGAAGCCACAAGUGACGGUACCUGCAGAAGAAGAGCCGGCUAAAUACGUGCCAGCAGCCGCGGUAAUAUGUAGGGCGCAAGCGUUGUCUGGAAUUAUUGGGCGUAAAGAGCUCGUAGGCGGUUUGUCGCGUAUUCUGUGAAAGCCUGGGGCUCAACCCCGGGUAUGCAGUGGGUACGGGCAGCAUAGAGUGCAGUAGGGGAGACUGGAAUUCCUGGUGUAGCGGUGAAAUGAGCAGAUAUCAGGAGGAACACCGAUGGCGAAGGCAGGUAUGUGGGCUGUUACGGUCGGUGAGGAGCGAAAGCAUGGGGAGCGAACAGGAUUAGAUACCCUGGUAGUCCAUGCCGUAAACGUUGGGCACUAGGUGUGGGGGACAUUCCACGUUCUCCGCGCGGUAGCUAACGCAUUAAGUGCCCCGCCUGGGGAGUACGG
rnacentral:rRNA from 1 species